GAAGUCAUUUCUAUCGUUUAUUCCUUUCUUUCUGCAUACAGUAAGAAGUUUAGUGAGAAAGUAUAUCCAGAAUCUUUCUAUUUCAUUCCGAAUCAAAACGAAUUUCACUUCAAGAUUGAUUAUACUUCACUUUUGACGAGCAAAACGGGGAAGAUAAUUAAUUUGAUUUCUGUGAAAGAUCAAAAACAUCAGCGUUCUUCGGUUCUAAAAAGUGAUGGAGAUUCCUUUAUUGCGUCACAGAACGAGACUUUUGUCGCUGGAAGUACAAGUAGAGAGUAAUUCCGGUUUUAACGUCUUACAUUCCGCGCAACGACCCUGCAAUUACCAAGAGAGCAAUUUUUCCGAGCCCCAAAUGAAUCUCUGCUACCUUUGCGGUUCGCGAACGUUAGACGUAUUAAGAAUUCUGACGAUGAAGGAAACUCUUCAUUAUCGGUUGGACGGAGAAGCAAGGCAGAAGUUCCGUAGACAAAUUCCACUAGCAUCAACAGGCUAUUCUUUACCGCGUAAAAAUCGAUGCUGCGGAAUUUCUUCCGGAUAGUUUCACCAUCUGAGGAUUAAAGAACCGUCCGUUUACGUCAGCAAAGCGAAUCUUUGAUCACUAGACUGCGAACUUUUAUACAUUUAUGGAAAAUUUAAAGAUAUAGAAUAAUAGAUGAGAAUGCAUACGA